rnacentral:rRNA from 1 species
GACGAACGCUGGCGGCGUGCUUAAUACAUGCAAGUCAACUGAACUAAGAGUAGCAAUAUUUUUGGAGAGGUGGCGCACGGGUGAGUAACACGUAGGUAAUCUACCUUUGGGUCUGACAUAAUACCGGGAAAUUGGUACUAAUAUCAGAUAAUGCAGCGGCUCCGCAUGGAGACAGUUGUUAAAGCUUCGGCGCCUGAAGAUGAACCUGCGGCCCAUUAGAUAGUUGGUAAGGUAACGGCUUACCAAGUCAACGAUGGGUAGCUGGUCUGAGAGGAUGAUCAGCCACACUGGAACUGAGACACGGUCCAGACACCUACGGGUGGCUG